rnacentral:rRNA from 1 species
UACGAAGGGGGCUAGCGUUGCUCGGAAUCACUGGGCGUAAAGGGUGCGUAGGCGGGCCUUUAAGUCAGGGGUGAAAUCCUGGAGCUCAACUCCAGAACUGCCUUUGAUACUGAGGAUCUUGAGUUCGGGAGAGGUGAGUGGAACUGCGAGUGUAGAGGUGAAAUUCGUAGAUAUUCGCAAGAACACCAGUGGCGAAGGCGGCAUCCUGGACCGACAUUGACGCUGAUGAGCGAAAGCUAGGGGAGCAAACGGG